CUUGGCUUGGCAGUGGUCGCUUGGCUUGGCGUGGCAGUGAUCGCUUGGCUUGGCAUUUCUGGCUUAGCGGUCCUCCUUUCGCAGAUUGGAAACCGCGGGCUAUCCUGCUGGGAGGUUGUGGCCGAGGCAGUAGCUCGCUACUGAUGGUCUCCUGGGGUGGAGAAAAGCGGGGAGGGGCUGAGGGGUCUCCGAAGCCGGCAGUCUACGCCACGAGGAAAACCGGUAGCGUCAGGAGCCAGGAGGACCAGUGGUACUUGGGCUACCCGGGGGACCAGUGGUCCUCGGGCUUCUCCUACAGCUGGUGGAAAAACAGCGUCGGCAGCGAGAGCAAGCACGGUGAGGGCGCCUUAGACCAGCCCCAGCACGAUGUCCGCCUGGAAGAUCUUGGCGAGCUCCACAGAGCUGCCCGGUCGGGCGACGUCCCUGGGGUGGAGCACGUCUUGGUUCCUGGAGACACUGGCGUGGACAAGAGGGAUAGGAAGAAGAGCAUUCAGCAACUAGUUCCUGAAUAUAAGGAAAAACAGACACCUGAAAGUCUUCCUCAAAAUAACAAUCCAGAUUGGCAUCCUACUAAUUUGACCCUUAGUGAUGAGACUUGUCAGAGAUCCAAGAAUCUGAAAGUUGAUGAUAAAUGUCCAUCUGUAUCACCAUCAAUGCCUGAAAAUCAGUCAGCAACCAAAGAACUGGGACAGAUGAACUUAACAGAACGAGAAAAGAUGGACACUGGGGUUGUACUUCUCUCAGGGAAUGAUACUCUCCAUGACCUGUGCCAAUCACAGCUACCAGAAAACAAAGAGAGCAAAGAAGCAGAACAAGACUUGGAGCUGACAUCAGAGGAAGAGCAAGAAAGACUUAAAGGAUGCGAAAAUAAGCAGCCACAAAAAACGUCUCAAGAACCAGAAAUGGCUAAGGAUUGUGAUAGAGAGGAUAUACCUAUAUAUCCAGUACUUCCUCAUGUGCAAAAAUCUGAGGAAAUGCGGAUUGAACAAGGCAAAUUAGAGUGGAAAAACCAAUUAAAACUCGUCAUAAAUGAGUUAAAGCAGAGGUUUGGUGAAAUUUAUGAAAAAUACAAAAUUCCGGCUUGUCCUGAGGAAGAGCCACUACUUGAUAACUCUACAAGAGGAACAGAUGUGAAGGAUAUUCCCUUUAAUUUGACAAAUAACAUACCUGGUUGUGAGGAAGAAGAUGCAUCUGAAAUAUCUGUCUCAGUGGUAUUCGAGACAUUUCCUGAACAAAAAGAACCCAGUCUCAAAAAUAUCAUCCAUUCAUACUACCAUCCGUACUCUGGGUCCCAGGAACAUGUUUGCCAGUCAUCUUCUAAGCUUCAUUUACAUGAAAAUAAAUUAGACUGCGACAAUGAUAACAAACCAGGCAUUGGACAUAUUUUUAGUACAGAUAAGAACUUUCAUAAUGAUGCAAGCACUAAGAAAGCAAGGAACCCAGAAGUGGUUACGGUUGAAAUGAAAGAAGACCAAGAGUUUGAUUUGCAAAUGACAAAAAAUAUGAACCAAAAUAGUGACAGUGGCAGUACAAAUAACUAUAAAAGCCUGAAACCUAAAUUAGAAAAUCUGAGUUCUUUACCACCAGAUUCUGACAGAACAUCAGAAGUAUAUCUACAUGAAGAAUUACAGCAAGACAUGCAAAAGUUUAAGAAUGAGGUCAACACAUUAGAAGAAGAGUUCCUGGCUUUGAAGAAAGAAAAUGUUCAACUUCAUAAAGAGGUUGAAGAAGAAAUGGAGAAGCACAGAAGUAAUAGCACAGAAUUAUCAGGAACCCUAACUGAUGGUACUACUGUUGGCAAUGAUGAUGAUGGACUAAAUCAGCAGAUUCCUAGGAAGGAAAAUGGAGAGCAUGACAGGCCUGCAGAUAAAACAUCUAAUGAAAAGAACGAGGUCAAAAACCAAAUAUAUCCUGAGGCUGACUUUGCUGACUCAAUGGAGCCAUCUGAAAUAGCCUCGGAGGAUUGUGAAUUGUCUCACUCUGUUUAUGAGAAUUUUAUGUUGCUGAUUGAACAACUUAGAAUGGAGUAUAAAGAUUCUGCUAGCCUACCAAGAAUCCAAGAAAGACACAUUUUGUUUGUGUGAACACUUACUGAAACUUAAGAAUAAUCACUGUGACCAACUUACAGUAAAACUUAAACAAAUGGAAAAUAUGGUCAGUGUACUACAAAAUGAGCUAUCUGAAACAAAAAAGACAAAAUUACAGUUAGAACUUCAAAAAAUUGAAUGGGAGAAAGAGCUGUACGAUUUGAGACUUGCCUUAAAACAAGAAAAUGAGGAGAAAAGAAAUGCCGAUAUGUUGUAUAAUAAAGAUAGUGAACAGUUAAGAAUAAAAGAAGAGGAGUGUGGGAAAGUGGUUGAAACAAAGCAACAACUUAAAUGGAAUCUGAGAAGACUUGUUAAGGAAUUGAGGACAGUAAGAAAUAACUUGGAUCUGGUUGUGCAGGAGAGAAACGAUGCCCAGAAGCAACUUUCUGAAGAACAGGAUGCCAGAAUAUUACAAGAUCAGAUUCUGACGAGUAAACAAAAGGAACUAGAAAUGGCUCAGAAGAAAAGGAAUCCUGAGAUUUCUCAUAGGCAUCAGAAAGAAAAGGAUCUCUUUCAUGAAAAUUGCAUGUUGCAGGAAGAAAUUGCCUUGCUGAGACUGGAAAUAGAUACAAUAAAAAAUCAGAACAAGCAAAAGGAAAAGAAAUAUUUUGAGGACAUUGAGGUUGUGAAAGAAAAGAAUGAUAACCUUCAAAAAAUUAUAAAACGAAAUGAGGAAACAUUAACAGAAACAAUACUCCAGUACAGUGGACAGCUGAACAAUCUGACAGCUGAGAACAAAAUGCUCAAUUCUGAACUGGAGAAUGGGAAAGAGAACCAAGAAAGACUAGAAAUAGAAAUGGAAUCAUACCGUUGUAGACUGGCUGCUGCUGUACAUGACUGUGAUCAAAGUCAGACAGCAAGAGACCUAAAACUUGAUUUCCAGAGAACAAGACAAGAGUGGGUUCGUUUACAUGACAAAAUGAAGGUUGAUAUGUCUGGCCUACAAGCUAAGAAUGAGAUUCUUUCUGAAAAACUUUCUAAUGCUGAAAGUAAAAUUAACAGCCUACAAAUUCAGCUCCAUAACACAAGAGAUGCUCUUGGAAGAGAGAGUUUGAUUUUGGAACGUGUGCAAAGAGACCUCAGCCAAACACAGUGUCAGAAGAAAGAAACUGAACAAAUGUACCAAAGCAAACUGAAGAAAUACAUUGCCAAGCAGGAAUCUGUAGAGGAGAGAUUAUCUCAACUACAAAGUGAAAAUAUGUUGCUUCGACAGCAACUGGAUGAUGUUCACAAGAAAGCUAACAGUCAAGAAAAGACAAUCAGUACUAUCCAAGACCAGUUUCAUUCUGCUGCCAAAAAUCUUCAAGCUGAGAGUGAAAAGCAGAUUCUUUCACUACAAGAGAAGAACAAGGAGCUGAUGGAUGAAUAUAAUCAUUUAAAAGAAAGAAUGGAUCAAUGUGAGAAAGAGAAAGCAGGAAGAAAAAUUGACCUUACAGAAGCACAGGAAACUGUACCUUCACGAUGUCUACAUCUGGAUGCAGAGAAUGAAGUUCUUCAACUUCAACAGACAUUAUUCUCUAUGAAAGCAAUACAAAAGCAAUGUGAAACACUACAGAAGAAUAAGAAGCAGCUGAAACAAGAAGUAGUAAACCUCAAAAGUUAUAUGGAAAGAAAUAUGUUAGAACGUGGUGAAGCUGAAUGGCAUAAACUGUUGAUUGAAGAAAGAGCAAGGAAGGAGAUAGAAGAAAAAUUAAACGAAGCCAUUCUCACCUUGCAGAAACAAGCAGCAGUAUCUCAUGAACAGUUAGCACAGUUAAGGGAGGAUAAUACUACUUCAAUAAAAACUCAGAUGGAACUCACAGUCAUAGAUCUGGAAUCUGAAAUCUCCAGAAUAAAAACUUCGCAAGCCGACUUUAAUAAAACCAAAUUGGAAAGAUAUAAGGAACUCUACCUAGAAGAAGUGAAAGUUAGAGAAUCCUUGUCAAAUGAACUCAGUAGAUGCAGCAGAAGUUGCAAAAUGACCUAACUGCAGAAGUAGCAGCUGCUACUAAAUAUGAACCUGGAUCCUAUAUAGCUUCUCCUCUAGGAUUUACACACAAGGAAAAUCUGAAUCAAGAUCCAGUUUUGGAAGUAGCAAAAGAAUAUGCACAGAUUUUAAGAAGAAAAUACAUACUCUG